UCCUCCGUGGCGCAAUUGGCUAGCGCGUCUGACUGUUAAGAACUCUUAUUGGGUCUUGUAAUCAGGAGGUUGACAGUUCAAGCCUGUCCGGGGGAG